rnacentral:rRNA from 1 species
UACGUAGGCAGCGAGCGUUGUUCGGAGUUACUGGGCAUAAAGGGUGUGUAGGCGGCUGUUUAAGUUUGGUGUGAAAUCUCCCGGCUCAACUGGGAGGGUGCGCCGAAUACUGAGCGACUAGAGUGCGGGAGAGGAAAGUGGAAUUCCUGGUGUAGCGGUGAAAUGCGUAGAUAUCAGGAGGAACACCGGUGGUGUAGACGGCUUUCUGGACCGUAACUGACGCUGAGACACGAAAGCGUGGGUAGCAAACAGG